GACGAACGCUGGCGGCGUGCUUAACACAUGCAAGUCGAACGGAAAGGCCCUGCUUUUGUGGGGUGCUCGAGUGGCGAACGGGUGAGUAACACGUGAGUAACCUGCCCUUGACUUUGGGAUAACUUCAGGAAACUGGGGCUAAUACCGGAUAGGAGCUCCUGCUGCAUGGUGGGGGUUGGAAAGUUUCGGCGGUUGGGGAUGGACUCGCGGCUUAUCAGCUUGUUGGUGGGGUAGUGACUUACCAAGGCUUUGACGGGUAGCCGGCCUGAGAGGGUGACCGGCCACAUUGGGACUGAGAUACGGCCCAGACUCCUGCGGGAGGCAGCAGUGGGGAAUAUUGCACAAUGGGCGGAAGCCUGAUGCAGCAACGCCGCGUGCGGGAUGACGGCCUUCGGGUUGUAAACCGCUUUCGCCUGUGACGAAGCGUGAGUGACGGUAAUGGGUAAAGAAGCACCGGCUAACUACGUG
rnacentral:rRNA from 1 species